rnacentral:rRNA from 1 species
GACGAACGCUGGCGGCGUGCCUAAUACAUGCAAGUCGAACGCAUUUUCUUUCACCGUAGCUUGCUACACCGAAAGAAAAUGAGUGGCGAACGGGUGAGUAACACGUGGGUAACCUGCCCAUCAGCGGGGGAUAACACUUGGAAACAGGUGCUAAUACCGCAUAAUUCCAUUUACCGCAUGGUAGAUGGAUGAAAGGCGCUUUUGCGUCACUGAUGGAUGGACCCGCGGUGCAUUAGCUAGUUGGUGGGGUAACGGCCUACCAAGGCUGCGAUGCAUAGCCGACCUGAGAGGGUGAUCGGCAACACUGGGACUGAGACACGGCCCAGACUCCUACGGGAGGCAGCAGUAGGGAAUCUUCGGCAAUGGACGCAAGUCUGACCGAGCAACGCCGCGUGAGUGAAGAAGGUUUUCGGAUCGUAAAACUCGGUUGUUAGAGAAGAACAAGGAUGAGAGUGGAAAGUUCAUCCCUUGACGGUAUCUAACCAGAAAGCCACGGCUAACUACGUG